AAGUCGUAACAAGGUUUCCGUAGGUGAACCUGCGGAAGGAUCAUUAACACAUUCCAACACCCGUGUUUGGUCAAGCCAGUGGUACCAAGUUGCUCAUCCGUGUCGUUCGCGGCUGGAUGGGUGGCUGUCGCUGUUGGCUUGGCCAGUACAACACAUACAACAACAUUUACAUUUUGACAACAACCAAUGGGCAACCAUACGAGAUGAUUUAUCGUCAAAACAACUUUUAACAAUGGAUCUCUCGGCUCUU
rnacentral:misc_RNA from 1 species